GAGUAGUGUUAGUGUGUGUUAGUCACCAGGCCUUAGUGGUACCAGCCAGAGUAGUGUUAGUGUGUGUUAGUCACCAGGCCUUAGUGGUACCAGCCAGAGUAGUGUUAGUGUGUGUUAGUCACCAGGCCUUAGUGGUACCAGCCAGAGUAGUGUUAGUUACCAGGCCUUAGUGGUACCAGCCAGAGUAGUGUUAGUCACCAGGCCUUAGUGGUACCAGCCAGAGUAGUGUUAGUGUGUGUUAGUCACCAGGCCUUAGUGGUACCAGCCAGAGUAGUGUUAGUUACCAGGCCUUAGUGGUACCAGCCAGAGUAGUGUUGGUGUGUGUUAGUCACCAGGCCUUAGUGGUACCAGCCAGAGUAGUGUUAGUCACCAGGCCUUAGUGGUACCAGCCAGAGUAGUGUUAGUCACCAGGCCUUAGUGGUACCAGCCAGAGUAGUGUUAGUCACCAGGCCUUAGUGGUACCAGCCAGAGUAGUGUUGGUGUGAAUUAGUUACCGGGCCUUAGUGGUACCAGCCAGAGUAGUGUUGGUGUGAAUUAGUUACCGGGCCUUAGUGGUACCAGCCAGAGUAGUGUUGGUGUGAAUUAGUUACCGGGCCUUAGUGGUACCGGCCAGAGUAGUGAUGGUAUGUAUGAAUUACCGGGCCUUAGUGGUACCGGCCAGAGUAGCGUUGGCUCCUCUCCAGAUGAGAAUCUCCAGACCCGUAUCCACCAGGAAGACAAACCUACAGGAACACAGAGCAUUAGAACUACAGAACUACAGGAACACAGCAUUAGAACUACAGAACUACAGGAACACAGAGCAUUAGAACUACAGAAACACAGAGCAUUAGAACUACAGGAACACAGAACAUUAGAACUACAGGAACACAGAACAUUAGAACUACAGGAACACAGAACAUUAGACUACAGUAACACAGAACAUUAGAACUAUAG
ensembl:lncRNA